rnacentral:rRNA from 1 species
GCGUAACGCGUAUGCAACCUACCUCAAACUGGGGAAUAGCCCCGAGAAAUCGGGAUUAAUACCUCAUAACAUUUAUCAUUCGCAUGUUUGAUAAAUUAAAGUUUCGACGGUUAGAGAUGGGCAUGCGUGACAUUAGCUUGUUGGUGAGGUAACGGCUCACCAAGGCUGCGAUGUCUAGGGGUUCUGAGAGGAUUUUCCCCCACACUGGUACUGAGACACGGACCAG